GGAUAGGAAACAAAAAGGCAUCUUUUUGUUUUUAAAAGACCUUCUUACGAAGGUAUGCUUAAAGAGGGGCUUGCGCCACAUUAGUUAGUUGGUAGAGUAAAAGCCUACCAAGACGAUGAUGUGUAGCUGGACUGAGAGGUUGAACAGCCACAUUGGGACUGAGACACGGCCCAAACUCCUACGGGAGGCAGCAGUAGGGAAUUUUCGGCAAUGGAGGAAACUCUGACCGAGCAACGCCGCGUGAACGAUGAAGUAUUUCGGUAUGUAAAGUUCUUUUAUUGAAGAAGAAAAAGUAGUGGAAAAACUAUAUUGACGUUAUUCAAUGAAUAAGCCCCGGCUAACUAUGUGCCAGCAGCCGCGGUAAGACAUAGGGGGCGAGCGUUAUCCGGAAUUAUUGGGCGUAAAGGGUGCGUAGGCUGUUAGAUAAGUCUAUAAUUUAAGUUCAGUGCUUAACGCUGUCUUGUUAUAGAAACUGUCUUGACUAGAGUGAGAUAGAGGCAAGCGGAAUUCCAUGUGUAGCGGUAAAAUGUGUAAAUAUAUGGAGGAACACCAGAAGCGUAGGCGGCUUGCUGGGUCUUUACUGACGCUGAGGCACGAAAGCGUGGGUAGCAAACAGGAUUAGAUACCCUGGUAGUCCACGCCGUAAACGAUGAGUACUAAGUGUCGGGGUAAAACUCGGUACUGAAGUUAACACAUUAAGUACUCCGCCUGAGUAGUACGUACGCAAGUAUGAAACUUAAAGGAAUUGACGGGACUCCGCACAAGCGGUGGAUCAUGUUGUUUAAUUCGAAGAUACACGAAAAAUCUUACCAGGUCUUGACAUACUCUGCAAAGCUAUAGAAAUAUAGUGGAGGUUAUCAGGGAUACAGGUGGUGCAUGGUUGUCGUCAGUUCGUGUCGUGAGAUGUUAGGUUAAGUCCUAAAACGAGCGCAACCCUUGUCGUUAAUUGCCAGCACGUAAUGGUGGGGACUUUAACGAGACUGCCAAUUAAACAUUGGAGGAAGGUGAGGAUUACGUCAAAUCAUCAUGCCCCUUAUGAUCUGGGCUACAAACGUGAUACAAUGGCUGUGACAAAGAGUAGCUGAAACGCGAGUUUUUAGCCAAUCUCAAAAAAGCAGUCUCAGUUCGGAUUGAAGUCUGUAACUCGACUUCAUGAAGUUGGAAUCGCUAGUAAUCGCGAAUCAGCAUGUCGCGGUGAAUACGUUCUCGGGGUUUGUACAC
rnacentral:rRNA from 1 species